CUGUGGGUGCCAUGCCUAAAACGUAAAAUUGUGGAAACGGAUUUUUAACAAAAUAAUCAAAAUCAUUCACAAAUAUUGUUCUAAUAAUGUCAAGGGAUAUCUUAACACUGUGCAUAUUUACUUAUACUUAUAUACUUAUCUAUCAACACCGUGGACGAUUUCUAAUGAUUUUUAUAGAGCAUAUUUUUAGUUUUGCUAUACUAUUUACACCGGAAGAUGAAAAGAAAACAAGAAUUGUGCACGAAUGCAAAUUGUUAGCAUGCAAACAAAGAGCCAUCAUUCGUAAAGUAGCUUAGAUCAUUUGGUUUUAGUUGCCUCAUUUUAGGCCGUUCAGCUUGGGCAGUUGCACUAUCGGGAACUAGAAAAGGAAAACAGAUAAUCAUAGCUUUGAAAGCUAGUCAUAGCUUUGAAAGCUAGUCAUAGCUUUGUGAUCACUAACGGAAUGAAGGAUGAUUUGCAUUGGUGGAUUGAAAAUGUUAACAUUCAGACUGAUUCCAUGGUUGCGGUUACGUGUUUAAGAAUCAAAAAGUUGGUGGCCGUUGGUCAGUUUACGAAUAAGAAUUGCACAUUAAUGUUUAAGAACUGCUGGCAAAACAAAUAGCCAUUACUAUUUGGUUAUAAUUUCUUAAAGAUAAGCAUGUCCUGGUUCAGUCUGACAGUUUAACGGCAGUGAGUUAUAUCUCUGAAUUUGGAGGAAUCAAGUCAUAGGAUUGCAACAAUGUUUCUAAAGAAAUUUGUCAGAGUUGUAUUGACAACAAUAUAUGGUUGGCUUGUUCGCAUGUUCCUGGUGUGUCAAAUUUAGCUGAUGAACCAUCAACUGCAUUCAGAUAUAUUUAGACAAAUUGGUAAACUUUUGGGAGAUUCCUCUAUUGAUCUAUUUGCCACCCGACUACAUGCAAAAGUGUCAGUGUUUCGCUCCUGGAAACAAGAUCCAGGAGCAAAGUUUAUUGAUUGUUUCAAAAUUGAUUGGUCAGAUUUUGGCUGCAUAUAUAUUUUCUGUCCUUUCAGUUUGCUCGGCCGCAGUGUUCAGAAAUUACAGAUGGACAGAGCAAGAGCUCCGAUAGUAGCUCCGAUUUGGCCCCACUCGGCAGUGGUUUCCGGCUCUAAUGAGGACAUUAGUGGACAUUCCUAUUAUUCUUCCAAAAGUUUGUAUCCUUCAUACUAUAAUACAGAAAGUACUUGCUAAUAAAUAAAAAUUAUAUUGUGCAUUUAUUGACUAUCAAAAAGCUUUUGACACUGUUAUACAUGACGCUUUAUGGAUGAAAUUAACUAAUUCACAAAUAAGUUCUAAGAUGUUAAAAAUGCUUAAAUCCUUAUACUCGAAUGUUAAGGCAAGUAUAAGAAAUAGUGAAAAUAUGUCGUAUUAUGAACUGUUUGACCUAACACUUGGUGUAAAGCAGGGCGAACCUCUUUCCCCUCUUUUGUUUAUAUUAUUUAUAAAUGACAUCACGGACUAUAUGAACUAAUUUGUCUGUAAAUGAUAUUGAACAAGUGUCACUAUAUAUGCUCUUAUUUGCUGAUGACAUUGCAUUAUUUACAACAGGUCCAAAAAUAUCCAGACUCAUUUUGACUAUAUAAGUAGAUUUUCUUGGAUAUGGGGCCUUAAAACAAAUGUAGAAAAAACAAAAAAUUGUAUUUUUGAAAGCAAACAAUCUAGAAACAACUAUACUUGGUGUAUCAACAAUAUCGAUGUUGAGAUUGUUGAUAGUUUCUGUUACCUAGGCAAGAAAUUUUAUUAUUACAGAAACUUUAACCAGGCUAUAUAAACACUUAAUGAACAGGCACUCAAAGCAUAUAAUGGUCUUUUAUCAUUGUUUUAGCGAGAUAUGGGGCGUAUAUGACUUUAAGGAAGUAAACAAACUCCAUGUUAAUUUUGUAAACAUAUAUCCUUGGCGUUCGUCUCCAAACAUCCACAGUUGCAGUCCUUGGCGUAUUAGGCAGAUUUCCUUUUUCGGUCAUCUGUAAGGAAAGGGCUUUAAAGUAUUGGUGUAAAAUUAUGAAAAAUUCUGAGUUUCUUCCAAGCAAAAUAUUUCAAGAAUACAUACAUGACGUAAGUUUCAUCUCAUUGAAUGUAAAAAAUAGCUGGGACAAGGCCAUAAAUAAUUUAUUAGAUAACCUUGGAUAUGGAUACCUAUGGUCAAUGUUCGAUUAUAACUGUAGCUAUGUACAUAUGUUAAAACAAAGAAUUCGUGAUCAAUAUAUACAUACUUGGUGCGACAUUGUUAGCUCACAAAGCAAAUUAUACUAUUUUAACACAUUUAAAACUGUUUUCAAAUAUGAAAAAUAUCUAUAUGCAGUCAAGAAGCCUGUACCACGGGACUUUUUCGGCUAUGUGUGGGACAAUCGGAUGUCAACAGACCAUCGCUUCAGGAAACGUUUUUGAUAAUUUCUUCAUUAAUUCAAUACCAUUUAAAAAAAACAAAGACGAGAGCCCGGUCAUUGUCAAAGUACAUUACUGUGUUAAGUUUGCGCAAAAUUAAUUUAGUAUUUUUCCAAAAAGUGCAACCGCAAGUUUAAAAAGACACGAAUUGAAAUGCUAUGUGUGGUAUAUUUUUUAUUCAAUCAACAAAAACGUUCAUAAUAAUAUUGUCGAAGGUUUAAAAAAUAGGGCGGACAUUGUAAUUCUUCAUAAAGAAGCUACAUACACUGUAUGUUUGCACUAAUACUUCUGAUUCGGAGUGUGUGCUUAAAAAUGCAAUCAUGCUAUGUGUGGGACACGUUUUUGAAAUGCUAUGUGUGGUAUACAAACAAAACUAGAGAAUCGAAAGAUUGACAUACACAUCAAUGAUAUUUUAAGUCUGUCUAAAUAACAAAAGUUGGUCAAUAAAACAUUGUUGGUACUGUUUUGCGUGCUUAAAAUAUGAUAAUCACGACGUUCAUGUUACUUGUAGAAUGCCAUUUGUUUGGGAACAGUGUGGUAGAGAGGUCAAAACACAGUCGGGAAUCUCCAAACACAAAGCCACCCACGCACGGGAAGGAAAAUAUAUUUCUGUUGCGGCAAACCUUUUCUUGGAGAUUAAAGUACUUUUGGAAGCGUUCAAGAGACGUACUGAUAUCUUGAUCAAUGAAAAGUUGUCAUAUAUAGUUAAUGUUCAAACGUUUAAAAGACUGUUUGCUUUGUUACCAGAUGGUGCAAGUAUUGAAGUGAAAGAAAACACAAUCAAAGUAAACAUUAAAUACACAUUUGACAAUUCAACAAAUUGAACAACAUGUAUUGUUUAUUACUUGGCGCGGUGGUAACAAGAUCUUGCAGCCCCUUUCAUGACCGGGUCGAAUGAGUAUUUUCAUUAAACAUCUUACACUAUUUUCAGUUAUUCAGAUUUCAUUUGAAAUUGAGUUCAUGAAGUAUUAAUACAAUUAAAUAUGUUUGUUGGUAUAAUAAAGCCCCAAAGCCAA